UUGCUUUGGCAGCACAGAUUCUAAAAUUGGAAUGAUAAAGAGAAGAUUAGCAAGAUCCCUGCACAUGGAUGACAUGCAAAUUUGUGAAGUUCGUGUUAAAAAA
ensembl:snRNA U6 U6 spliceosomal RNA